GCAGCCGCCACGGGAAUACAGAGGGUGCGAGCGUUAAUCGGAUUUACUGGGCGUAAAGCGUGCGUAGGCGGCUUUUUAAGUCGGAUGUGAAAUCCCUGAGCUUAACUUAGGAAUUGCAUUCGAUACUGGGAAGCUAGAGUAUGGGAGAGGAUGGUAGAAUUCCAGGUGUAGCGGUGAAAUGCGUAGAGAUCUGGAGGAAUACCGAUGGCGAAGGCAGCCAUCUGGCCUAAUACUGACGCUGAGGUACGAAAGCAUGGGGAGCAAACAGGAUUAGAUACCCCGGUAGUCCCUGUCUCUUAUAA
rnacentral:rRNA from 1 species